UGAGCAGGUCACCUUAUCGCCUUGCCCCGAGUAUUCGGGUCGAGGAGGAAAGUCCGGACACCAUAGUGCGACAUAGCGGGUAACACCCGCCCUCCGGCCUUUGGCAGGAGCGGACAAGUGCAACAGAAAGAAUGUACAGUUCGGCUGUAGUGAAACCAGGUAAACUCUAUGUGGUGAAACGUCAUGUAUAUCAGUGUUCGAGGGCUGCACGCCCGAGCUGAAGGGUAGGCGGUAUGAGCCUUUGGGCAACCAAAGGCCUAGAUAAAUGAUAAGGAAGUCCUGGUAGUAAUAUCAGGGUAGACAGAAUCCGGCUUACGACCUGCUUUUUUU
rnacentral:RNase_P_RNA from 1 species